GUGUCAGCAGCCGCGGUAAUACAGAGGUGCCAAGCGUUAGGCGGAAUCACUGGGCUUAAAGCGUGUGUAGGCGGACGGGCAAGUAUCUUGUGAAAUCCCACGGCUCAACCGUGGAACUGCUGGAUAUACUGCCUGUCUUGAGCGACCUAGGGGCUACCGGAACAAAUGGUGGAGCGGUGAAAUGCGUAGAUAUCAUUUGGAACGCCAAUGGUGAAAACAGGUAGCUGGGGGUCUGCUGACGCUGAGACACGAAAGCCAGGGGAGCAAACGGGAUUAGAUACCCCCGUAGUCC
rnacentral:rRNA from 1 species